rnacentral:lncRNA from 1 species
UCUCUUAUUGAGUGUGGGCAAAAGCUCACACUCAGUCCCAGGAUUAAGUUACUAAUCACUUGAUGUUGUCUUAAUUGAAAGGCAGAUUACCCAGGCCCAAAGCGAAACCUCCCCCACUCCUCUUUUCACAGUGGUAAAUCAGUAUAAAGCCCACUGCAGAAAUUUGUGUGGAACUAGAAAUUUAGCUGGAAAUGUACCACAAUAUACCAGUCUUUCUUUUCUAUACUCAUGGCCCCUUUCUUAGUUUAGGCCCUUGAAGAUAAUGCUUGGACAAUUACCUCCUAAAUUAUUUUCUUGCCAGUAAUUUAUCUUUUCCCCAGCACCACGGCCAAAUCACAGCUCUGAGUGGGGAACCACAUUUGAACAGGACUAGUCCCUUCUGCCUUCUGGGCAGGUCACAUCUGAAAGAUUAUCCUCUUUGAAUCAGUUUGAAUGUUCUAGUGACCAGGCCACACAGUUUCUCUUGACAUUUAAAAAUGAAAGCUUCCAGUCUUGUCACUAAUGGAUUUGGGGUCCAGUACCCUUAAAAUCACCUCAGAGCUGCCUGAAUCCAUAGACUACUUGCAGAAUCACUGGUUUUACUUGGAUCAAGCCAUCUGAGAAGGAAAAAAGCAUUGGAAAUGGAGGAGACUGUCAAGGACAAUAAUAAAUGAUGGUUUGGCUGAAAUAAAAACUCAAAGCCCCCACAAUAUUGAACCACCAUUCCAGACCCAGCCAAGGUUUGGAACAUAAAGUGAGCUGAAUGAAUCAGCCUGCAGGCAACCCAGAGAAAGUAAUUGUUCAUCCUAGCAGCACGGCUGCUUUUCUGCUUAGCAUCUGAACAAGUUAAUUUGGAAACACAGCCUUCUGGAAAGAAAUGGCGCUUCUCUCAGCAUCCCAUGGAUUCAUGAGGCUUGACCAGUCUGUAUUUGACCUUCCAUCACCAAUUAAUUAAAAAACAAAAGCAGGCAGCUCCUUGAAUGCAAAUAUUGCCUGAUAUUUUCAUGGGUGAGGGAGAAUGGGAGAAACAAGAAAUGAUUACAUUAUUGUGGAUACUUUUAUUCACCACAAUGGAAGUCUUUAAACAUAAAGUUGAUGUACAUUAAGAGGCAAGACCCAGGGCAUAUCAUCUAAAGAAGAUUCCUCCCACUUUUCUUCUGCUUACACCAAUCCAUCCAACCAUACAUGAAUUUAUAUUCAAUGUACUCAAUUUAUUCAGUGUAUAAUAUUGCUUUGUGAACUAUGGGAAAUAUAAAUAUGACUCAGUUUUUCCCCUCAAAUAACUGACAUGCUACUUGAGCGUGGUCUCCAGACACAGGAGAAGAGCGACGGCGAAGAAAGGAAGGAAGGAAGAAAGAAAAGGAGCCUGAAUUUACACUCACCGCUUCAAAAGCCCUUUUGUACUAAGCCAACUUCUCCUGGCUGAAGAUGCAGUAUCUGCCAAGAAGUCGCCUGCAAGAAAG